rnacentral:rRNA from 1 species
AACGAACGUUGGCGGCAUGGAUCAGGCAUGCAAGUCGAACGAAUCCCGCCUGGGUAACUGGGGCGGGGGAAGUGGCGAAAGGGGCGAGUAAGGCACGGGUAACCUGCCCCGGACUUCGGGAUAGCCUCUCUAACGAGAGGGUAAUACCGGAUGCCGUAGCGAGGGGGCAUCCUCUUGCUACGAAAGCUCAGGCGGUCCGGGAGGGGCUCACGUGGUAUUAGCUAGUUGGUGGGGUUACGGCCCACCAAGGCCAAGAUGCCUAGCAGGUGUGAGAGCACGACCUGCGCCACUGGCACUGGGACACUGGCCAGACUCCUACGGGAGGCUGCAGUCGAGGAUCUUCGGCAAUGGGCGAAAGCCUGACCGAGCGAUGCCGCGUGUGCGAUGAAGGCCUGG